UGCACCUUAAAUGCGAAAAUUAAAUUAGCCACACGGCCUAGCACACGGGUGUGUGACUUGGCCGUGUGACCCUUAAUUGAUGCUGAUGUCAUAAACAGAGAGUUACAUGACCUGGGGCAUAGGCGUGUCUAGGGCAUACGGGCGUAUCCUUGUGUCCACACGGGCAAGUGACCCUGUUUUAUGAAAAAAAAUUUAAAUUUCACAGUUUAGUCCCGAACUACCCCUGAUGUAUGUUUUGGGCCUCAUAAGCCUAUAUAAGGGGCGAUAUGCAUGUUCUUGAAUAAAUUUUUAAUUUGAACGAAAAUUUUGUGGCCCUGUUUCACAUAGUAGUGUAUGUUCAAGUCCGGUAAUGCCUCGUAUACUAUCCCGGCGUUGGACGUAAGGGAUGUUACAGUUUUUCUAGUUAAAAUAAACAUUUACAACUCUACAAAGGUUUUACCUUCUCUUCAUAUAAAUAGAUGCCACCGAUAGAGCUAUUAACACAACUUUGAGAGACUCUUAUUCUACUGAAAAAUAGAGAGAAUUUAUUCUCAACUAUUACAUAUAUUUUUCCAGAAUAACAAUUUUACCAGUUUCUAUUAUAGAAGAGAGAAUUUUUAUUUUCACCCCAAAAUGAGAGAAAACUUUUUCUAGUUUUGUGUUUCAAUUUAAUUAGUUCGAAUCCAUACUUGAAACAGUUCGUGGUACGAGAAUAGCAGAGAAGAUCAUUUGGUUGAAAGUCGAAAAACAUCAAGGAUCUGCUUAUCCGAAAACACAGGUAUGAUUUCGGUCUAAGGUUUAUUGCUAUAAAUAUCACAAAUCGAGUCAGUUUUUCAAAAUUUUAAUUUUCCACUGUGUAAGAAAACUGUUUUCAAACCAAUUUUUUUCCAACAAAUUAUUCACCUGUGCACUGUAGGCGAUUGACCUCACGAAAUCAACUUAUUCAUGAAAGGGAACAAGCAACAUUUUGCAACUUUUAUAUAGUCUUAUUUCAGAGAGCCAGAAGGGCUGCAAGCAAGAUUACCAGUACUAGUCCGAGUGCCAUCCCAUUGGACACCGUCGACGAGCCAAUUCUUGAAGAUUAACUUCAAUGGCGCUCUUAACAAACAAAAGCACCAAUCGUUAGCGGGUAUUGUUAGAAGGGAUUCAAAUGAUGCUUUUUUAGUUACGAAAAUCAAUUUACACAAUCACAUAUCUUCGACAUUUGUAGCUGAGGCGGUGGCCUGCCUCUAAGCAGCCCAGAUGGGUCGGGACAUAGGGCUUCAAAUGGUGGUGAUCGAAGAAGAUGCAUUGACAGUGAUCCGCAAGUUGCAGAAAGACCAUACCGACAGAUCAGAAAUGGGGUUUUCAUAUCUGACUGCAUAUCUAUUAGUGCAGGCUUCCAAGUGUGCCUCUUUCAACGUGCACAGCGCCAAGCCAACGUAGUGGCUCAUACGUUAGCUACAGAAGGCUUGUAGAGGGAAUCAGAAGCUUGUCUAAUCAGUGGAGCUCCUCCUUUUGCAAUCGAUGGCGUGGAAUUAUAUUAGAGGCAGAUGGUACGGCCUAGCUGACAAUCACGGUCGAGAGGACUAUGAGAAGAAUAACACGACAACAAGGUCUAGUGCUGUGAGAAGUGGUGUCACCAGUGGCUUAUAGUUUUCAAAUGCUUUGAACAGAUCGGAUCAUGACGCUUCUGUAGGCUAGAGAAUGGAUUUUUUUUUGUGUACAGUAGCUUUGUUUAGGGCUGUUAUGUUUUUUACGAUUCUAGUUCUCACAACCAUAUUUCUUGAGACUUUCUUUACUAAGUUAAUAACAUUCAGCCUCUUUUCAUUUAAAAAAAUAGCUAAAUAUGUAAAAAUAAAAGUGAUAAAUAAAAAAUUAAGAUAGAAAGAGGUUAGGUUUUUAUGUUCU
rnacentral:lncRNA from 1 species